rnacentral:rRNA from 1 species
GACGAACGCUGGCGGCGUGCUUAACACAUGCAAGUCGAACGGUAAGGCCCUUUCGGGGGUCCACGAGUGGCGAACGGGUGAGUAACACGUGGGUGAUCUGCCCUGCACUUUGGGAUAAGCCUGGGAAACUGGGUCUAAUACCGGAUAGGACUACGCGAUGCAUGUCGUGUGGUGGAAAGCUUUUGCGGUGUGGGAUGGGCCCGCGGCCUAUCAGCUUGUUGGUGGGGUGAUGGCCUACCAAGGCGACGACGGGUAGCCGGCCUGGGAGGGUGUCCGGCCACACUGGGACUGAGAUACGGCCCAGACUCCUACGGGAGGCAGCAGUGGGGAAUAUUGCACAAUGGGCGCAAGCCUGAUGCAGCGACGCCGCGUGGGGGAUGACGGCCUUCGGGUUGUAAACCCCUUUCAGCACAGACGAAGCGUAAGUGACGGUAUGUGCAGAAGAAGCACCGGCCAACUACGUG